rnacentral:rRNA from 1 species
AACAAACGCUGGCGGCGUGCCUAAUACAUGCAAGUCGAACGGGGAAAGCUUUCGGGUGAGUACUAGUGGCGCACGGGUGAGGAACGCGUGGAUAAUCUGCCUUAGAGUGGGGGAUAACUAGUCGAAAGAUUAGCUAAUACCGCAUAAGACCACAGGAGCUGCGGCUCUAGGGGUCAAAGGUUUUUCGCUCUAAGAUGAGUCCGCGUAAGAUUAGCUAGUUGGUGAGGUAACGGCUCACCAAGGCGACGAUCUUUAACUGGUCUGAGAGGAUGAUCAGUCACACUGGAACUGAGACACGGUCCAGACUCCUACGGGAGGCAGCAGUAGGGAAUAUUGCACAAUGGAGGAAACUCUGAUGCAGCGACGCCGCGUGAGUGAUGAAGGCCUUCGGGUCGUAAAGCUCUGUCGCAGGGGAAUAACACAAUGAAUGUACCCUGUAAGAAAGGAUCGGCUAACUUCGUGCCAGCCGCCGCAGUAAAAC